UGAGGAGGAGUGUGCCUUAUAUAUGUGGUGUGUGUGCAACUUUGGAGGUGUAUUGCGUUCAGUAUUGUGGGACCAGUUUUAUGCAGGGCUGGAUUUAGGUUUGAUGAGGCCCUAAGCUACUGAAGGACAACAUUCUUGGAAUGGUGCGAAGCAAAACGGUUUCCCAAAAACCUUUCCCUGGAUCAAGAACAGAAGUCAGAGGCUGUAAAACUGUAUCAGACUCGGCCAUGGCUGAAGGUUGGAAAACUAUGUGCAGGGCCAGCUCAAGACGUUUUGACACCUGAGGCAAACUGCAAAAUGGUGUCCCCCGCCAGGGAAGAAGAGUUUCCAUCCCUCCCUGCCUGCAUGGUUUCUUACUGAAAAUGGCUGCAGCUGAACAGCAAGGCAGAAGCAAACAAGGAAGUAAGGAAGUGGGCAAAUUCUGGCUAUUUGGAUAUCUGAAUUUUUGGAGUGUACAUCAAGGUUUGGGCAGAAUUCUUCACAUUCGGAUAAGUGAAUUUUCGCAUAGCAAGCAAGUGGAUUGUGGGACCUGUGUGUAUUUUGUCAAGAGUGCUGAGAGUUAUUAGGAGACCUCUGAUCCUCACAUUCAGCAGGCAUUAUAAGGCUAUUUCUGAUUUUUAUAGUUUGCUUUUUACUGAUUCAGUGUCUGUAUUGUUAGUUUUUCAACUAAUU